rfam:Callithrix jacchus chromosome 10, whole genome shotgun sequence
UAGUGUUAUAGCUCUUUUAGAAUUUGUCUAGCAGACUUUCUGGUUUUGGCCAGAAAUCUCCUU